CAGUACUUUGAUGAGUGGGUUCAUCCCAACCCUGGUCUCAGCGGAGGGCACUGACCCAGGCCUGACGAAUCAAUCAUUCCAUGCCUCUUGGCUACCGUGAUUGGCACAGUACUCAGAGAUGGCACGUGUUCCAAGCCAGACCAGUGAGAGGCAACCACAGGAUGUUUGUGGGAACUCUGGUCCACAGAAUCUCUCUCAAGGGGGUUGGCACCUGGGAGGGUGGGAUGCCAUCUGGAACUGCUGGUGGUCAUUUACCAUGAUGGUGAGAGCUGACUGGUGGUGGCCAACUCUUGAUGAGUAUGUUUGAGCACCUGGAUCCGGCCAUGGCUGAAUCCACCUCGAAACUCCCACUUACAAGAAUCAACAAAUGGCCUUUCUUGGGUCCAUGUGUUGGAGUAGAUUACUGGUCACUUGCAGCUGAAAGCAUGCUGGUGCUAAGGAAUGUGAAUACUCUAAACAAAGUCCCCUGCCCCUUGGUUCCUGCUCACCCUACAGGGAUUUUUGGGGAGCUGAAUAUCCAGUCCAAAGUCAGAGGAAGGACAUAUGCUCAAGGGGCACUCAGUUUCCAAGUCUCAGGGAGCCAGCACCUGAGUCUCAGUCUUGCUUUCAGACAAGAUGUCGUCCUGAGAAUCUUUCUCCCUCAUCAGUGCAGUUGCCGACCUUUGAGCCUGACUCGUCAGGGUCCAUUCUCUCUACACAUUUAUCCAACCAUCACAUGUUUGCUGAGCAUCUACUUUCUUUCAGGCACGGGCUGGGCACAGAACUUGCAGGGAUGAUGAUGUUUCCAGGUCAGCCCGGAAAAGCCAGUGCAGCCAGUCAGACGUUUCUAGAAUGGUAGACUGCCAGGUAUGGAAACAUUCUUUAUACUUAUUCACUUAAAAGUUUUGUUUACUUAAACAGUUGCAAGAAUAUUUAAAUCUACUGCACAUUUAAAAACCCAGAUAGGUAGCCAGAUUGUACUACGCUAGUCAUGAAAGGCAACUGACAAAAAAGAAGAAACACGUGCAAUAAAUCUUUUCAUUGGUUUUGGGGGCUGGUGUUAUUGGGAGAGACAGAGGGACAUUUCCACAGGGGUUCCGAUGGCAGUGCUAUCUGUUUAAGGCUUUGCAUGUUGAUGACACAAGUUCCUUUGAGGACAAGUUUCUUUCGAGAUGUUGAUAUGUCUCGGUGGGUGCCUGGAACCUUCCUCUCCUGGCAGCCUCUUGCUGAUUGUGCCACACCAGAUGCCCCGAGUUAAAUGAUGGGCUAUGUCGAGACCAAAUAGCGAAGCCCAGUGCAGAUCCAUCAACUCCACGUUUAGCACAACACUUAGUAGGAGAAAUUCAACUUUAAGCCUGAAAUGCAGGUCACAAAGUUGGUCAAGAGGACGAGAAGCAAAGCGGGCAAGCGGAAUUGAGGGCAGGGUCUCCCGAGGGGAGUCUGUGCAGUGCUGGCCUUUCCACGCUUUGCAACAGAAGGGCUCUGUUCCGGAAGCACCUUCUGUGCGGCCGCUCCUCGGCAAUUUGCAUGGGACACUAGCGGGUUGAAAGUUCUGAAACGUCCUGUGUGGAAGAAACAAACCUGUGCGCUCUGCUUCAGGCAGUGUUUCCCCAACCACUGAACUUUGUGGGUUUUUUUUUUUUUUUUUGAGUAGCAGCUAUUUGUAUCCACAUUCUAGAAACGCUUGCUUAAAUGUUACAUUGUCUCAUGUUCCUGGAUACACUUAGCCCUUCCACAGGAGGGACAAGGGCCGUGUGCGCAUGUUCACCAGCAUGUAUGUGGUCAGGCUGGUCCACUCACGGGAGCAACGAUGGGAGGGACAAGAAAUUCGGCAUGGUCCGGAUUGCCUUCUUGGGAGUGGUGCUGCUCAGGCUGUUUCAGAGUUCCCGCUGGCCUUCCUGCGCUCCGCUUGCCUCACCCCUGCGUACCUGCCGUAGCCAGCAUGUGUGCGCGGUGCAGGUGGAGAGAGAGAAGACGAAGUCCGAGAGGCCCCCAGGCUCUCUCAGACAUGGGGAGACAGACACACAGCAAGAAGUUUGAGGACAAUGUGACACGUGAAAUAAAGGCGUGUUGUGAGUAGUUUGGGGAUCACGAGAAGGAGGCCCCUCUCUUUGAAAGAACUGAGGCUAGUUUUGUCUGAAAGGGGAUAGAUGAAUUGUGUCUUAAAGGUUGAAUAGGAGGUUAUCAGGCAGAGACAAGAGUUGGGUUGGGGACACAUUCCGGGGGCAAUGAUCAGGGACAUGUUUUGGGGGCAUAAGAUUCUGAUUCCAACUCCAACAUGCUUUCAACACCAAGCAAGUCCCCCACACCAGCAGGGGGUCCUACAAUUCAACUCAGUUCUGACACUGUCCACUUGGAGAGAGCGUCAGAUUCCAGAGGUUAAGGGUUCAGUCCCACAAGAUCGCCCUUCUCUGCAGUCGCCAACCGCAAGUCCGGGUUGUCACCUGUGCUUCUGAGCCACCGGCUAUAAAUCAGUGGUUCCUGCAACCCCCCUUUGAGUUUGAUUAAUUUGCUAGAGCGGCUCACAGAACUCCAAGAAACAAUUUACUUACCAGACGAGAGCCAGCUGGAAAAGCUGCCCGGGGCAAGGUGGGGAAGGGGCGGAGCUCCCACGCCCUCUCCAGCCUCGCCACUCUCCUGGGAUCUCCACGUGCUCACCAGCUGGAAGCUCUCUGAACCCCUCAGUUUUUGGGUUUUUACGGAGGCUUCCUUACUUAGCCGUGGCUGAUUAAAUCAUUGGCCACUGGUGAUGGGUUCAGCCCCCAGCCCUUCUCCCCUCCCCACAAGUCUGGGGGUGGGACAGAAAGUGCCAACCCUCCAAUCACAUGGCUGGUUCCCCUGGCAGCCAGCCCCCUCCAUGGUGCUUUCCAAAAGUCACGGCAUAAAUGUAAACUCAGGUGUGGGUGAAAGGGCUUUGUCGUGAAUAUCAAGACAGCUUUAUAGCUCUUAUCACUUGGGAAACCCCAAGGGUUUUAGGAGCUCUGUGCCAGAGACAGGACGAAGACUAAAUACAUGUUUCUUUUUACAAAUCACAGUAUCACAGGGAGUCUGAUCUGAAGGGCUUCCAUCCUGGGCUGACGGACACGGAAAGUGAGUGCUGACAGUCUGCUCUGCGCUUUCCCAGAGAGAGUCCCCAGGAGCAAUAUGUAAUCAUCUAAUUAAAACAUCAAUUCUCAGCUGGAGAGAAGGAUGGAAAGAGGACAGGGGGAUGAUAAAGCAAGCACAGUCACGUGUCCACACAGACUCUCGGGGCGCACACAGGUGGUCACUGGAGAAAGCCUUUCAGCUUUGCCGUGUGUUUGAAAAUCCUUAUAGAUAAAUAUUUGGGAGAAUAAACUCUUAAUUUGAAUUUAUUAUUUCCUUCUUUCUUUUGCAAUGCCCAGUUUUUCCUAAGCCUCUCUUUGAUUAUUCAAGUUGCCAGCACCCGGGCAAUUACUUCCUGCAAACAAGUUGUCAGAAGGCGCAAAUAAAUUUUAGACCUAAUUUAAUUCUCAGUUUACUUGCUCAUGAAAAAAAAAAUCUUAAUUUCUCCAAACCACAUCAACCCUUGAUAUGCCAGUUAUGAUUUCUUUUCAAAAGCCGGCUGUGAAAUGCUAAGCCAAUCACUCAGAGACGGUCUGACUGAAUGAAUGACGGCUGGGGAAAGAAGGCCAUGUUCAGAGCAUCCGGGAUGAACGGUGGGUCCCAAGCACAGAUCAAGGGGAGCCAGAGAGGGUGUGUGGGGAUAAAGGGAGAGCAGUGACGGUCAGAAGCCAGCUACUCCAGAAAGGAAGGAGAAAGUGGGCCCUGGUUAUGGUGGGGUUGAGAUAUGGGGUGCCCGGGAAAUGUGGCCAAGGACCCUGACACUCUAACCGCUUUCUGAAAUGUGAAGAUCUCUAAGGAAACCAGCAGGCGGGAGUUGGAUCAAUGCAUUCCUGUGCUGUAGGUGGGCAAUACCUGGAAACAUUACCAAUGCCUCCAAGACUCCCACCAGCAUCGUGUGUGGGGGGACCCACCAGAAGGGAGGCUCCCAGCUCACAUCCCUCACUGCUCCCUGAGAACCACCCACCAGCCUGAUUGGGCCAGGGGCAGACACCUGUCAUGCUGGGCCAGUUCGAGCCUCUCUCUGUACCUAACAUCUGGAUUGGCUGGAGAAACUGAGGCACAGUGUCGUGAGUUGAACUGUGUGCCCCUAGAAGUUACAAAUACACCCCGGUAUUUGUGAAUGUGACCAUACUGGGAAAUAGGGUCUUUGCGGAUAUAAUGAGUUAAGAUCAGGUCAUAGUGGACCAGGGUGGGCCCUAACUCAGUGACUGGUGUCCUUAUAAGAAGAGGUUAAUUUGGACACAGACACACGGAGAGGAGACUAUCGUGUCACGAGGCACAGACACACAGAGGGAGGAAGGCCCCUGAGGCAGGACUGGAGCGAUGUGCCUACAAGCCAAGGAGCCCCCAGGACCGCUGGCACCACCAGAAGCUGGAGGAGGCGAGGAAGUCUCCUCCCCUAGAGCCUUCAGAGGGAGCGUGGCCCUGCAGCGUUCUUAAUCUUCGAUGUUUAGCCUCUAGGAUUGUGGGAGAAGACACUUCUGUGUUGUUGAGACACCAGUCUGCAGGGCUUGGUUACGCAGCCCAAGGACAGGAAUUCACAGAGUGACAGUGGAAGCGCAGAGGGACCCAGCUCAGCCUCAAGUCUGACUGACAGUAUUAACAUCACUGAUAAAGAACAGAGAAGUCCUCAAGAGGAGUGACUUCACCAAGGUUGGGCCAGCCUGGGGUGACCUGUUCAGGUCCAGUGGUAGGUGGGCAGACGUCAUUCAACUUUCAAUGACGGUGUCAAGGACCCAGGCUCCUUCUGUCUUUGUGUCUUUCCAGUCCACUGUUUCAGCCGCACGCUUGCCACCUCAAGGUCAAAGGAGGGCUCUCCAGCACUGUCCGAGUGCAAGCAAGACACAGGGAGAAGAGCAAGUGCUGGUGGCGUCUGUCCCUUUUACUAGGAAAGCAAAAGCUGUCCUCAGAGCCACUGGGCAGAUUUUCAGUGACUUCUCAUCAAUGAGCAUUGUGGCAAACGGCUACAUCCAGGAAGUGGAUGUGCGAGGAAAGCUGGAAAAGAGCACAUCUAGCAUUUCUGCCUCUACACUGGAGAUGCCUUAGUUCCUACCGCAGCCAUGACAAAUUCCCAUAAACCAGAGGGGCUUGAAACAGCAGCAGUGUAUUCUCUCACAGCUCUGGAGCCUGGAAGCCCCAAACCGAGUUGUCAGUGGGGUGGGUUCCUUUUUAGAGGCUCUGAGGGAGAAUUUCCUCCUUGCCUCUCUCCCAGCUUCUGGUGGUUGCCAGCAAUCCUUGGCUCCUAGACACACCCCUCCCAUCUCUGCCUCUGUCGUCACAUGGCCUUCUCCCCGUGCCUCUUCUUCAAAGGACUCCAGGCACUGGGUUAGGUCCCAGCAUAAUCCAUCUAGACCUCAUCUUUGCUUGAUCACAUCUGCAAAGACCCUAUUUCCAAAGAAGGUCACAUUCACAGGUGCUGGGGGUUAGGACUUCAACACAUCUUCUGCGGGGACACAACUCACCCUAUGACACAGGUGGACAGGGAGAGAGGGUUUGGGGAGGGGUGUUGGGUUGGUCCCCAGGUGUGAUGCUUGGAGAUAUUGUGUCAAGAUGAGGGAGAAAGCAAGAGAAGCAGGGAGCGGCCAGCCUGGAGUGCACGGGACAGAGUGGAGCCGAUACAGGAAGCGUGCCCAGAACCACCUGCCCCUGGACUGCUCAUUUUACGAGGUCACUAAGUAGCCUUACUGCUUAAGCUGUUUUUAGCCACUGCUUGCAGCUGAAGGUAUUCUAAUUCUUUUUAUGAUUGAAAUAAAAUGUUUGAUC
ensembl:lncRNA